UAAGUAAAUCAGAUGGUCGCGGGCAUAGAGAUAUGCCUGAGGAAAGUCCGAACUCCGCAGGGCAGGGUGCUGGAUAACGUCCAGUGGGGGCGACCCUAAGGCAAGUGCCACAGAGAUAUACCGCCCGGAUUUUCCGGGUAAGGGUGGAAAGGUGAGGUAAGAGCUCACCAGCAGGCUAGGUGACUAGCCUGGCUCGGUAAACCCCACCUGGAGCAAGGCUAAUAGGGGAACACAUGGAGUUGCCCGCUCCGUUCCCGGGUAAUGCUGCAUGAGGUAUCAGGCAACUGGUAUCCUAGACAGAUGACCAUCUUCAACAGAAUUCGGCUUAUGAUUUGCUUAACCG
rnacentral:RNase_P_RNA from 1 species